GACGAACGCUGGCGGCGUGCUUAACACAUGCAAGUCGAGCGGUAAGGCCCUUUCGGGGGUACACGAGCGGCGAACGGGUGAGUAACACGUGGGUGACCUGCCCUCAGCUCUGGGAUAAGCCUGGGAAACCGGGUCUAAUACCGGAUAUGACUCCAUGACGCAUGUUGUGGGGUGGAAAGCCUUGUGCGGCUGAGGAUGGGGCCCGCGGCCUAUCAGCUUGUUGGUGGGGUGANGGCCUACCAAGGCGACGACGGGUAGCCGGCCUGAGAGGGCGACCGGCCACACUGGGACUGAGACACGGCCCAGACUCCUACGGGAGGCAGCAGUGGGGAAUCUUGCGCAAUGGGCGAAAGCCUGACGCAGCGACGCCGCGUGAGGGAUGACGGCCUGGUU
rnacentral:rRNA from 1 species